UUUGGACACGCUAAAAAAUAGAUUGUCACAAGCUCGUGAAAAAAUGGCUGGUGCUGGUGUGUUCGGACGCGACAAACACCAGAAGGAAGAAACAAAACUUUUGGAUUUGAUUAGACAAACCCAGUUCAAUUUUAGUAACUAUUUUUCUGACAAGGACCCUGAACAGGAACAGGUGGAGCAAAACGGGGCUCAGGGAGGUGAGCAGGCACUCGACACUUCAGAGGAUGCCUGUUAUGGAGUUGCGUGAAGGUCAGAUAAAUUGUGAAAUAAGGCCUACAGAGGAAGAAUUGGGACAAGAGGUACGAAAGGAGUUUCAGAUGCAAGAUUUAAUAGAGGAGGCGGUAAAUAAAGCAUUUCAGCGAAUGUCAACAAUUGAUAGCAUGGGCACAGAACAUGAAGGGCACAGUCUAGGGGCAGCUGACAGUCUAAGAGGGAGAGAUGAGCAGAGGAAGCCACAUACGGAUAGCAAUGAGGAAGAUAUGAUACAAAUGGAAAGGAAAGCUUAAAAUAUAAGAGGUUGAUAUAUUUACAAUUUACGAUGUCUUGAAAUGAACAUUUUAAAGGUAAGAAGAUCAAUUAGUACAUUUUCAGUGCUGUAAACCCCAACCCCGGCCCAACAUUGAGCUCCAGAAGGUGGAUCACACAGAGCAGCCCUUCACUUAGAGGCAGGAGAGAAAAGGAAAAGAAGACACAGAGAGACUGAGUGCACACAGGGCCGAUCACAGCCGAAGCAGGGCCCAGGAGUCUAGAAGCAGUUUUUACCUUAAAGACAUCUACCAAUUACUACACUAGAAUGGUAUUGGAAUCUGCAUUUAGAGUGACUGAUUCAGGAGCUUAUAUUUGAAAAUGUUAGACCACACAAGCUAAGUUUGUCAAACUGUAGCAAAGUGAAUAUAAAUUAAACACUGAUCACUGAGGAUACUCUAAGGUGGAUUAAAUGGAUCUUUACUCAGUCAACUGUUCAAAAUAGAGUGGGUUACAUCAAAUAGAUAAAUUAGAAAGGUUGAGUUCAGUGGAUAAAAGAGAGGCAGACAGCAGUAGAUGAAAUGGAGGGUGAGUUGGAUAGAGAAGGGGAGAAAUGGGCAAAGAAGAUCGAUGUGCGGGUUCAGUAAGAAUUAGAGAAAGGAAGUCAAUGCAGCAACACUAGGGAGGCCGGGAUCCCACUAUUUGUUUAGUUAUGGAGGUAGUUUUUGAGAAAUUUCCAGCAGCAGUGAUAGAUAUUUUGAUUGAGGGCAGCAACUGUCCUUUUAUGGUUAAUACGGGGGCCAGAUACAGCCCCAUGAAUCUUUAUGUGCCCACCUGCCAAAAAACUACACGGGUAAUGGGAUUUUCAGGAGAAAAACAAAACAUACCACUUUUUCAGAACCCCUUAGAGGUGUUCUCAUAUUUGAAAAUUCAAACAUGUCAUUUUUGGGGGACGUUUAGAAUUAAAAAUCAUUGGGUGUGAAAAGUUAUUUUGGUGUCUAACGUGAGCAAAUAAAUCUUAGGUUUCCAUAAAUGUGCACAUAUAGUUUAACAAGGAUCCUAAAAUGAGGCUGAAAAGCACUGGUGCAGAGGUCUUAAGACCGGACUGGUGAAAAGAUUAUGACUUUUUGU